rnacentral:tRNA from 1 species
GCAGUGGUGGUUUAGUGGUAGAUUUCUCGCCCUCCAUGUGGGAGACCCAGGUUCGAUUCCCAGCCAGUGCA